rnacentral:tRNA from 3 species
GGGGCUGUGGCAGAGCGGUUGAAUGCACCGGUCUUGAAAACCGGCGUGCCGAAAGGCAUCGUGAGUUCGAAUCUCACCGGCCCCGCCA